rnacentral:tRNA from 1 species
GCCCGGAUGGCGAAAUUGGUAGACGCGCACGUUUCAGGUACGUGUGGGGCAACCCAUGGAGGUUCAAGUCCUCUUCCGGGCA